GACGUAGGGCGCGAGCGUUGUCCGGAUUUAUUGGGCGUAAAGAGCUCGUAGGUGGUUUGUCGCGUUGUCCGUGAAAACUCACAACUCAAUUGUGGGCGUGCGGGCGAUACGGGCAGACUGGAGUACUGCAGGGGAGACUGGAAUUCCUGGUGUAGCGGUGGAAUGCGCAGAUAUCAGGAGGAACACCGGUGGCGAAGGCGGCUCUCUGGACCGAUACUGACGCUGAGGCGCGAAAGCGUGGGGAGCAAACAGG
rnacentral:rRNA from 1 species